CCCUCAGGGCUGCUGUCCUUCGCAUGGCUGCUGCCCCCUCCUCCUGGGCACUCUUAACUUACAUAGCCCCCGUGACCUCAUUCACUUAGUCCAGUGGAGGCCAGCUCUGGUUAGCUGUUGGCCAACCAAUUUGAAAUACAUCACUA